CGCGGCGAGCGCGAGCGUUAAUCGAUGAACGUUUAAUCGAUCGAUCCUUUCUGUCUCUUGUUUCAGGUGAGUACACGACCAUCGCUAACACGACAACGAUGCCAACCGAAAUCACGGGGAAACGUUUGGGAUCGUCGCGUGAGUACUCUGGUGCAACAAACUCUCCACCGCUUCUAGACUCUAGACGAACAACGCCGUCGGUUUGCGACUUUGCUCGAUUCUUCGAUAGGUACGUGAGUCGUCGUCAAGUUGAUACAGUUGAAACGGUGACGAUUAAUAACAAAGGGGGCCAGAGUGAUAGAGACAGAGUGAGAGAGAGAGAGAGAGAGAGAGAGAUUUCUCGGUCGCUCGAUACUGAAACAACCAGAGAAAUUUCAAGCUAGUUACAUUUUUAAUCGCCGUACCUUUCUGUAUCUCGCGGCUGUUCAACUAUUCACGAGGAGCGUUCGAAUUCGCGGCAGAAAAUCUUAAAAUAUGUUAUACUUGCCGCGGGCAUCGGUCAAAGGUCGCGAACAACUUUCCACCAUAUUAACCCGUUUUUCUUCAUCGCGUCCUCGUUUCCACCUUCGCUCCUCUCCGGCUUUCCCCUC